AUUGAACGCUGGCGGCAGGCCUAACACAUGCAAGUCGAGCGGGGUUUUCGGACCUAGCGGCGGACGGGUGAGUAAUGCGUAGGAAGCUGCCCGAUAGAGGGGGAUACCAGUUGGAAACGACUGUUAAUACCGCAUAAUGUCUACGGACCAAAGUGUGGGACCUUCGGGCCAUAUGCUAUCGGAUGCGCCUACGUGGGAUU
rnacentral:rRNA from 1 species